rnacentral:rRNA from 1 species
UGCGUAGGCGGGUUUUUAAGUCAGAGGUGAAAUCCUGGAGCUCAACUCCAGAACUGCCUUUGAUACUGAGAAUCUUGAGUUCGGGAGAGGUGAGUGGAACUGCGAGUGUAGAGGUGAAAUUCGUAGAUAUUCGCAAGAACACCAGUGGCGAAGGCGGCUCACUGGCCCGAUACUGACGCUGAGGCACGAAAGCGUGGGAGCAAACA